UACGGAGGGUGCAAGCGUUGUUCGGAUUUAUUGGGUUUAAAGGGUGCGUAGGCGGCUUUUUAAGUCAGUGGUGAAAGACAACAGCUCAACUGUUGCAGUGCCAUUGAUACUGAAGAGCUUGAGUACAGAUGAGGUAGGCGGAAUUUAUGGUGUAGCGGUGAAAUGCAUAGAUACCAUAAAGAACACCUAUUGCGAAGGCAGCUUACUAAGCUGUAACUGACGCUGAGGCACGAAAGUGUGGGGAUCAAACAGG
rnacentral:rRNA from 1 species